rnacentral:rRNA from 1 species
AUUGAACGCUGGCGGCAUGCCUUACACAUGCAAGUCGAACGGCAGCAUGGAGAGCUUGCUCUCUGAUGGCGAGUGGCGAACGGGUGAGUAAAGCAUCGGAACGUACCGUGUAAUGGGGGAUAACGUAGCGAAAGUUACGCUAACACCGCAUACGACCUGAGGGUGAAAGCAGGGGAUCGCAAGACCUUGCGUUAUACGAGCGGCCGAUGUCAGAUUAGCUAGUUGGUGAGGUAAAGGCUCACCAAGGCGACGAUCUGUAGCGGGUCUGAGAGGAUGAUCCGCCACACUGGGACUGAGACACGGCCCAGACUCCUACGGGAGGCAGCAGUGGGGAAUUUUGGACAAUGGGGGCAACCCUGAUCCAGCCAUGCCGCGUGAGUGAAGAAGGCCUUCGGGUUGUAAAGCUCUUUCGGCCGGGAAGAAAUCGCACAGGCUAAUACUCUGUGUGGAUGACGGUACCGGCAUAAGAAGCACCGGCUAACUACGUGCCAGCAGCCGCGGUAA